GUUGGGGGGGAUCCAAGUCCAAAAAGAGGACUUGGACCGCCAAUGGAUGGGGUGACGGUUCGUAGGGUCUUUGUAGAUCAACGUAGAAGAAAAGGAAAACUGUUUCCUUGAAACAAGGUGGUGAUUCAUGGAUUUUUGUUUAUUUUGUAUUUUCUGUUCUCAUUUCAUAAAAGCCAUUGGAACAAAGACGCAAGGCUGAACAUGUGUGGAGGAAGUGAUCCUAAUUUCACUGAAGUGGAAAGAUAACGUGGAACUAGUCUUCUGCCAGCCCCCAUCCCUGUCACCAAAGUGGCUCAUCUCCAGGCUCUGAAGUGAAGAGCACCUAUGGGCUCCCUUGUCUAGAAAGUCUCACAGAUUUCUGGGUCCGCCCUGGGCUGCGGGACACUGUGAGCCCCAGAGACCACUUUGCAGCUGCAGUUUAACACGGUAUAAAGCUGGAAUCGGGCCAGACACACAGAAAAGGGGAAACGACUGAGCAAUUAUGUGGUGAUAUGAAUACCCCGUGACCGUGAACAACACGGCCAUAUGUGGACCACGUCAGCACACUCAGGUCCGGAUACUUAAGUGACAAUAGAAGAAAUUCAAGUUCAUCACUGAUAAAACACAGUUUUAAGAGGCAGAUGUGUGUGCACCUCUUUAGAAGGAAAACAGCCCCAAACCUAGAGCGAGGGGGGCCCUGAGCCAUGGCUGGGGACCCCACCCUGAGAACAGUGGGCCGCAGGGGGUGACGCUGCUUCGUCUCGGACUUGCACACCACGCUUGCACACCCGCCUCCGACGGAAGGCUCCCACCUCUGUUCUCCGAUGCCAGGGAAGCCGCACGUCUCACUUCUGCUCCACAUAGAGCUGGCAGGAGUUAACAAGGGAGGCAGGAAAUUUCCGGUUUGAUUUAGAAUGCCAAGAUGUCCUCCUGUCCUCCAAGACAAUCUGUCCAGCUGGGCUGGUGUUUGCCGUGCCAGGAUGUAAAAAGGUUCCAAACAAGGAAGUGAAUGAGCAACAAGCCAGUACUUGGGAUACGUUGGGUCUGAAAAUUAAGAAGCUUAUGGGCUCCCGUCCUGGCGCAGACUAGAGUUUUCAGGAAAUAGUCACCGUCGACUCCCUUUUCGUCAUUCUGUUACUAUU